GACACGCGCCCCCUGACCCUCGAGGCCCCUGACACGCGCCCCCUGACCCUCGAGGCCCCUGACACGCGCCUCCCCCGCCCGCAGAGCGAGGAGAGCGACAUCCCGCUGGGCUCCGUGUACAGCACCUUCCAGCCCACGCUCACGCGCGUGAACCCCGCCAGAAAGAUCCAGAUCGCGAGGCCCCAGGUGGUCAUGACGUCGCUGUGAGCUGCCGGGGACUCCCCAGGGCGGGCCGCGAACCCGCGGACAGCGCGCGCCUCGGCCCAGCUUAACUGAGAGAAGCCGCUGCGGAGCCCGAGUAAACGGUGUCGCUCACUGUUA